rnacentral:rRNA from 1 species
AGCAGCCGCGGUAAUUCCAGCUCCAAUAGCGUAUAUUAAAGUUGUUGCAGUUAAAAAGCUCGUAGUUGAAUUUCGGGAUUGGCGCAUCGGUCGUGCCUUACGGGGUAUGAACUGGUGCAGUCAAUUUCUCACCUUCUGGAGAACCGCGAUGUCCUUAAUUGGGUGCCGCGGGGAACCAGGACCUUUACUUUGAAAAAAUUAGAGUGUUUAAAGCAGGCAUUUUUGCUUGAAUACAUUAGCAUGGAAUAAUAAAAUAGGACGGCAUGGUUCUAUUUUGUUGGUUUCUAGGACCACCGUAAUGAUUAAUAGGGAUAGUUGGGGGCAUUAGCAUUCAAUUGUCAGAGGUGAAAUUCUUGGAUUUAUUGAAGACUAACUACUGCGAAAGCAUUUGCCAAGGAUGUUUUCAUUAAUCAAGAACGAAAGUUAGGGGAUCGAAGACGAUCAGAUACCGUCGUAGUCUUAACCAUAAACUAUGCCGACUAGGGAUCGGAUGAUGUUAAUUUUUUAAUGACUCAUUCGG